rnacentral:rRNA from 1 species
UACGGAGGGUGCAAGCGUUAUCCGGAUUUACUGGGUUUAAAGGGUGCGUAGGUGGGUUGGUAAGUCAGUGGUGAAAUACUUUCGCUUAACGAAGGAACUGCCAUUGAUACUACCAAUCUUGAAUACAGUGGAGGUAGGCGGAAUGCGUCAUGUAGCGGUGAAAUGCUUAGAUAUGACGCAGAACACCAAUUGCGAAGGCAGCUUGCUACACUGUUAUUGACACUGAGGCACGAAAAGCGUGGGGGAUCAAACAGG